UACGUAGGGGGCAAGCGUUGUCCGGAGUUACUGGGCGUAAAGCGCACGCAGGCGGUCUCUUAAGUUUGGAGUGACAGUUGGUGGCUUAACUGCCAAAGUGCUUCGAAAACUGAGAGACUUGAGGGCUUCAGAGGGACACGGAAUUCCGGGUGGAGUGGUGAAAUGCGUAGAGAUCCGGAGGAACACCGAAGGCGAAGGCAGUGUCCUGGGGAGUACCUGACGCUCAGGUGCGAAAGCCAGGGAGCGAACGGG
rnacentral:rRNA from 1 species